rnacentral:rRNA from 1 species
UACGAAGGGGGCUAGCGUUGUUCGGAAUCACUGGGCGUAAAGGGCGCGUAGGCGGCCUGUUAAGUCGGGUGUGAAAGCCUGUGGCUCAACCACAGAAUUGCCUUCGAUACUGUUAGGCUUGAGACCGGAAGAGGUAAGUGGAACUGCGAGUGUAGAGGUGAAAUUCGUAGAUAUUCGCAAGAACACCAGUGGCGAAGGCGGCUUACUGGUCCGGUUCUGACGCUGAGGCGCGAAAGCGUGGGGAGCAAACAGG